rnacentral:rRNA from 1 species
GGGGGGGGGGGGGGGGGGGGGGGGGGGGGGCGGGGCGGGGGGGGGGGCCCGGCUUGUGGGGGGUGCUCGGGUGGCGAGCGGGUGAGUGCCACGUGAGUAACCUGCCCUUGCCUUUGGGAUGACUUCAGGAAACUGGGGCUACUACCGGAUCGGCGCUCCUGCUGCAUGGUGGGUGUUGGAAAGUUUCGGCGGUUGGGGAUGGACUCGCGUCUUAUCAGCUUGUUGGUGGGGUAGUGGCUUACCAAGGCUUUGACGGGUAGCCGGCCUGAGAGGGUGACCGGCCACAUUGGGACUGAGAUACGGCCCAGACUCCUACGGGAGGCAGCAGUGGGGAAUAUUGCACAAUGGGCGGAAGCCUGAUGCAGCAACGCCGCGUGCGGGAUGACGGCCUUCGGGUUGUAAACCGCUUUCGCCUGUGACGAAGCGUGAGUGACGGUAAUGGGUAAAGAAGCACCGGCUAACUACGUG